GCCAUGUUACCAAAGGGAGGCCUCAUUGACAGGAAGGCGGACAUGUAAUCCAGAAGUGGUGGACCAAAAACAGAUUUCUGCCACCUGCUCAAAGGUCAGAAGCACUGAGAAUUAUGGCCACUAAUUAACUCCACCACACACUGAAACAUUAAUAUAGGCCGCAGCCUGUUGAGUCUGACUCGUCAGCUCUGCCCCUAUAUGUUAAUAUUGAGAGGGGGAAUUAUAAAAAUGUAAUGAGAAAACGCUGAAAUAUGAAAGUCUUGUAAUGAUGAAAUAUAACAACCCAUAAUGAAGAAAAAGCAGCAGCAUUUUUUUAAAAAAAAAUUCAAUUCUUCUGAAAGAUAGAAAGGGAGUUGGGGGUGGGAAGAAAGCAUUGCCUGAAAAUGAGUUUUACUUCCUGACUGUUCCAAACCUUCUGAAAAAAGCAAUUACUGUUGGGCUGGCAUUGCCUUUCUGCACAUUAAUUCCCCAUUAUGAGUAAAAUUAAUGGGUUUUGAAAACGCCUUGUCCUUCACAUGAGCUAUGCUCUUCAUUACUGGGGCUAAUAAUCCACCUGAGAUUGGAGGCCAUUGUCCAGAGCCUCCCUAGCCUGCUUUACUACAAAAUGUGGAAGGGAGCAGGACUUAGAUCAAAGAGCUUGUGUCUUCCUUCCUUUUUCCCCACCCCACCCAAGCGGGUGAGAAACAGAGUCUUCCUGUUGUUUAGUAAUAUUAUUAUUUGUUAACUAUGGAACUCACCCCCACAGGAAGCAGAGAUAGCUACCAACCUAGAUUGCUUUGAAAGAGGAUUAAACAAAUUCAUGGAGGACAUACCCCACAAGUGUCCCAUUUUAAGCAGGACAUCCCAGAUCACAGAAACCAAUUCCGGCUUCUGUUUGGUUCCCAUAAUAUCCCAUUUCUUGGUCCAGUGCUCUGAUGUGAGUCCAGAGCAUCACUCACUCUGGUGCAAGUCAACAGGAUCGUGCCAGAGCACUGAACCAAAAGGUGCUCUGGUGCAACCCUGCUGACAAUCACCAGAACGUGUUCUCUUCCGGUGCCCUGGCAAUAAUUCGUAGGGUUGUGCAAGAGUGCCUUCCUUCCAGCCAGUCCUUCCUCCCUCCCACUCAGGGCUCCUGACACCUACACAGACAUACCAUUUUUCUCUUACCUUUGCAGGGGAUGAAUAUAGUCCUGGGAAGUGGAAGAAUGAUGCCCAUUCUUGCUCCCCGCCUCUUGACCACCUGCUCCAGCAUCUGACUGCUGACCCCCUGACAAUAUGCUGAGCCAAACCUCACUUAUUGCUUCCAACAUAGCACUGUGUCCUACCACACCUAAAAGGAUGCCUGGCCCACUUCCAGUUAAUCCAGUUCCCCUGAGGUUGACUCCUUGGUUGAUACACCAGGAAAAGACAGUUCUCUCUUCUUCUUUUUUAAUGAUAUUUAUUGGGAAAAAAAAUAAAUUACAGAGAAAAAAUAAAGCAGAAAAGGAGAAAAAAGGGGAAAAAAGAAACAAAGAAAAAACAAACCACAUCAAACAAUACAAAUUCAAAAAACAAAAAUACGCUGCAGACAGACAAUAAUAACUCCACCAUUCUCAAAUCCUCAACUUUCAUUACCUUCUUUCUUUGACCUCCUCCGCCUCCCUUUUUUUGUAUCCUAGUUAAUAAUUAUCGCAGCAAAUCCUUUCCAUAUUUCAUAAUAUUCUGUCAUUACAUUACCUUAAUCUAUUUUCAUCUUAUCUUAUAGAAAACCUUAAAAACUUAAAACUUAAAUCUUAUUUUUACCGACUUCUCACAACCAUAAUAUUCUUACCUAAUUCUUUAAACAUUUUUACUAGAGCCAAGUAAUUUCAUUCCAGCAUUUUUCUAACAUUCAUCAAUUUUAUAAAACAAUCCUGGUAAUAAAAAAAAGAGAUAAAAAUAAUCAAGUCUUCCUCCAGCGUCCCUUCCUCCUGGUCCCGGGUUUUGUCAGUCCUUUUUAUCCCAUCGAUCUAGCGCAUUAACCUGGUAACCUUAUAUCCGAGGCCCUUAAAUCUCUUCCAUGUCCCUUCCGCAGCUCUUCUUCAUAUUCUCCUUUCACUCGUGGGAACUCCAGCUUGCUGAUGUUUUUGACCCUUUUCAGCAAAUCAGCCCCUUUUCCAUAGUCCAGACUCAACUCCAUGUGGUAUUUAAAAACGUUUCAGAAUCCCUCCAAAAUUGAGAGCCCCCACAGCUCCAAACAUCUCAUGGUCCAUUGCCAGACUCGGAAAGUCCAAACAUCCCUGCGUAGGGGGUCUAUCCAACCCCCCAUUUCCAAACCAAUCCAAACUUUAUCUUUCCAAAUCUGGCUUUUUCCAAGUUCAUUUGUCAAGUCCAAAAGCUCAUGCUCCUGCAAGGCUGCAGCUCCCUCCAUCUCUGGCGCCCAAGAUUCAGCAACAUCCUCUUCUCUCAUCUGCUCUGUCAGGACGCACUCCUGUUCUAAUUCCUGGGUGGGCUCCACAUAGUUUCCCACUGCCUGUUCAAAAAUUCUGGCCGCAUUAGUCAUCAAAUCCAUCUUCUCAUUUAACUGUUCCAGUAGGGCACUUGUUUUCCAGAGAGCACACAACAGAGCCUCUGAAUACAUUGUCCUACAAGGUCACAAGUCCAUUCCCACGAUUGUAAUCUGUGACAGCUGCAAGCUCCCUGGAAUUAGUUACAGUUUCACAGUCUCCCUCUAGGGGGAGAACUUCUAUUUGUUCUUGCAACAAAGUAUCCUUUUUGAGAUAUUUUGUCAAUAUUUGUUCCUUAAAAUGCGAAAGGAAACAGUGGAAUCACUAUGUUUCUCUUCCUUUAACUAUCUGUCAAAAACGUUUGUCUCUGGUCAAUGAGCUUCAAACGUCAGUCCUGACACCCCGCUCCAGGAUCAGGACGGUGGAAAGUUACUUUACUUUAAACUCACUUCUGCAGGUUUAAACAGUCUGGAAAAGAUCCCCCUCCUUCUCCUGCUGUCGAAGGGGGGUUCCACAAUUUUAAAUGAUGAAAUCCAAUCCUUUAGAGGCGAUUUUCUGAGCUCUAGUUUACGUUGUCUUUGCUUUAUUCUGUCUACAAAUAAACGGAAGGCUGACUUCCUGUUUAGACCUUCCCGUUUCAGUACCAAAUUGAAGUAAAUUUUUAAGUCCAAUUCCUUUCUGCACGCAAGUCCUUAUUUAAAGUCCGAUUGUUCAAAUUUUAAGUACUCACGGGUGCUUAUUUUAGAAGCCAAAUUGUCCCAGGAAAAGGCAGCGCUCUCCGGCAACGGCUAUGCGGCUUCGCUCCACGGAAAUAGCAGUUGACUCACAGCACCGCGCCACUUCCCCCUCUUCACUUUGGAGCGCGUUAGUGGGUUCCUUUGCGGGUUGGGGGGGCACUAAGGGUGCCCGCCGAGUCCCAUGGUCACAGGCUUCAUCCGCCUGUGAUUUUUAGCAGGGUCCCUGCUUCGCCGUAGCAGAAAAGACCCGUUUCACACAGAGCUAGUCCCUCCAGUUCAGAGGGAGUCCGCCAUUGCCGAUGGCGCCACCCCGGAAGUCGAAAAGACAGUUCUCUACUCUGAAGCACUGCCUCUGCUCUCUUCCCCUCAAAGGACCAUCCCCAAAUCAAAGGGAUGAAGCAGUCUUGACAGUCUGUGUUAAUUUGUUUCCGCUUUUUGUCAUGGAGGGUUUUGCUUUAUGGCUGCUUUCUGACCAACCUAAAUCCUGAUUGAAGCAGCGUCAGAUUCUGAGUGCUUGGAGAAAUGUUUCAUCCCUAAUUGCCUGCCAGUAUCAAACUCUCACCCUGAUCGUCAACAGGCAGUGGUUAAUAUCCUUUCAUUAAACGUUCACUGUGUCUUAGCCACCAGCAGUUCUGGUACAAAGAAGACUCUUGUCCUUAGGAAUCAGAGCAGUAAGGGGGUGUUUUGAGGAAGGCACCAAGUGAUAACCAUCCCCAUCUAACUUAGAAGCACCCAGGGGAUCUUUAAGACUGAGGGAUAUAUAGGUACCCAGCCAACAUGGCUGCUGUUUGUUCAGGGUUAACGGGAUGUCUUUGUGAGACAUGAGUACAGGAUAGAAGUUGAACCAGGACUUCCAUCUAGCAUUAGUCAGCUGACUCCAUGGGCCAAUCCCUAUCUACGAGGCCCAGAAAAGUCUUACUUUAAAAGCUUUCUCUUCAGCCCAAGCAAUUUGACUCUGGUGUGAAGAUACUAUUUUCCUUUACCUUGGAUGAUGACUUGACAUUUGACUUCAUACCUGCCUCUGAUCCUUGUUUGUUAGCCUGAACUGUGACACCAGCCUGGCCCACCUGGACUAACAGCCAACUGCGUUCUCUGCAUCUUAAAUGCACAUGGCAGCAUAUACAACAAAGGAUCAGGAACUGGAGGGUGGCCUGACAUGCACUGCAAACUACCCGCAUCGCAAAACACCUCUCUUUUUCAUCCUUGGAGGCUGGCAACAAAGGCAAUAUGCAUCCAGGCAGUUUUAACAGCUGUCUGGUCUAUCCAAAUUGUUCCAACCAAUAGGAUUUUGCCUUCCAUGGCUAUCAGUUCAAAGGGUGUUGCUAUCAUGGAAUGGUGAAUUUCAGAGCUUUUUUAAAAACAAAAACAAAUAAACAAAUAAACCUCCUUGGUUCUCUGAAGCAUUUUGCUGUGCUCUGAAUUUGCACUUCAGACAAACAAAGGCCACUUUUACCCUGUACCUUCUAAGCACUAUGCUACCACUUCCAGCUGUAAUGAGUUCCCCCAAAGAAUUCUGGGAGCUGCUAGGGGGGACUUCUUCUCUUUAUUGCCAGAGUGGUUAUAGGGCUGCCAUACGUCUGGAAUUUUCCGGACAUAGAUGGGAUUCGGCCAUCGGAAACAGUGUCUGGGCAGAAAUCGCUGGAAUGUCUGGGAAAAUCCACCCGUAUAGCAACCCACAUUGGAAACGUAUAUCUUGGAGAAUUUCCUUAAAAAUAGCUCAAAAACUUCUUUUUGUUGUUAAGAUUUUUCACUUUUUGAAAUAUGGCAACCCUAUUGAAUAAUCAGGGAAUGCUGAGAAUUGUAGUUCUGGGAGGUGGAAUGGGGUACUGUUACAACUCUCAGCACCCUUGACAAACUACAGCUCCCACAAUUAUUUGAAGGAAGCCAUGACAGUUUAAAGUGACAUCAUAGCACUUCAAAUGUCUGGCUUGCAAGAUGAGCUGAUGUGUAAUGGUGCAUCAUGGUCCUUUUCAUUUCAUUCUCCUCUCAGUGGCACAGCAUCAGAGAAGAUGAACAGUGACCAGAUGCUUGGCACCUCUUCCUGCUCCUGCUCCCCACUGCCCCUCAUCAUGCCACACCAGAAGAAGAUAUUUCACCAUUAAGUGGAGAGUCAGAAUGAACAUCCAGCUUCUGCUUCAUUUGUGGGAACGAUAUUGUGCAGUCAGAAAUGGACAUCUGGCGGAGGAGUGUCAAUCUCCCAGCCAGGGAAGCAAAAGGACUCAGCUAAACUAUUUCCCCAAGAGAUUCAAGCUUGGGGAAGCCUAAUUGCCAAUGCAGAGGUCUGAUGGAAGACUGUCUGUUAGAAAUGGCCUCUGUCAAGCUGAUCUGCUCAGGAAGGGUGAUUUUGACAAAGGCUUUAGUCUUCUUCGCUCUCUUCCCUCCUUGAAUGUUAUUUUUACUUUCAAUGGGAAGCCCAUGGACAAAGAUGUGUAUGUUUACUUAUUCUAUGGGCAGUGCCUAGUGCUUGAAAUAUCAGUAUAAUUAGUAUCUGGGUUCUGAUCUCAGCUCAGUCCUGAAGUUAAGAACAUUAGAAUAUCCCUGCUGGAUCAGGAGAAUGGCCCAUCUAGUCCAGCAUCACCAUGGCCAACCAGAUCCCUCAGGGAAACUAGCAAGCAGGACAUAAGCACAAGAGCAUUGUCUCCUCCUGUGGUUUUCACCAACUGGCACUCAGAGACUUCCUACCUGGGCAGUGAAGAUAGAAUGUAGCCGCUGAGGCUAGUGGCCACUGCCAGCCUCACCCUUCAUGAAUUUGUCUAAUCCUCUUUUAAAGCAGGACCUGAGUUCUACACUUCUCUUUCAACUUGUGAUUCCCCGCAACUGGUAUCCAGAGGCAUAUUGCCUCCAACAGUGGAAUUAGAACAUAGCUAUCACGUUUAACAGCUCCAGAUAUUCACUGAGUGUGGGUGACCACCCUUUCUCGAUUGCAUCACUUUAGAUGGGGGAGGGGUGUCACAUGCUUGAAUGGUGUCUAGUGGUGAAGAAGAAAGACGAAGACUUUCUUGAUCUGUAUAUUUUGUGUUUGAGGAAGCAAGAUGCAGCUGGGGGAAAGGUGGGUUCUAUGAAAAAGUGAAUUAUCAAAUGGAAGUUUGGGAGAUUUUCAUCUGUACAAAUAAGGCAAAAUGUCAAGCUGUCACUGUGAAGUACAAUAUUCU